ensembl:rRNA 5S_rRNA 5S ribosomal RNA
GCUUACGGCCACACCACCCUGAGAACGCCCGAUCUCGUCUGAUCUCGGAAGCUAAGCAGGGUCGGGCCUGGUCAGUACUUGGAUGGGAGACCGCCUGGGAAUACCAGGUGCUGUAAGCU